rnacentral:rRNA from 1 species
CGCCAGACUCCUACGGGAGGCAGCAGUGGGGAAUAUUGCACAAUGGGGGAAACCCUGAUGCAGCGACGCCGCGUGAGCGAUGAAGUAUUUCGGUAUGUAAAGCUCUAUCAGCAGGGAAGAAGAUGACGGUACCUGACUAAGAAGCCCCGGCUAACUACGUGCCAGCAGCCGCGGUAAUACGUAGGGGGCAAGCGUUAUCCGGAUUUACUGGGUGUAAAGGGAGCGUAGACGGCGAUGCAAGCCAGAUGUGAAAGCCCGGGGCUCAACCCCGGGACUGCAUUUGGAACUGUGUGGCUGGAGUGUCGGAGAGGCAGGCGGAAUUCCUAGUGUAGCGGUGAAAUGCGUAGAUAUUAGGAGGAACACCAGUGGCGAAGGCGGCCUGCUGGACGAUGACUGACGUUGAGGCUCGAAAGCGUGGGGAGCAAACAGGAUUAGAUACCCUUGUAUU